UGCAUGGGGAAUUGUGACAGAUUACUGGGCCCAUCACCUAGUAGAUGUUACUGUCUAUUUUUUACCUGGAUCCUGCCUACAGAAAGGAUUGUGACAAAUCAGUGGGCCAAGCAUCCCGGUGACGUGGCUCUUCUGUCUUAGCAAUUCCUAUAGUUGGAAUAGUGACAUAAACCUGGGUCAAGCAUCUGGGGUAAUUUGUGACAUACUGCUGGACCCAGCACCCAGGUCAUUUGACUCUCCUGCCUUGGCCCUUCCCACAGAGGGCAUUGUGACAUUGAGUGGGCUCAGCAGCUAGGUGAUACGACUUUCCUGCCAGGACUCUUCCAACAGAAGGGACAUUGACCUACUCAGGCUCAGUAUUCAGCCAAUAGAUGAAAAAAGAUUCAAGGAAGACACAUUUGCUUUUUAUUCACUCAUCACUUCCCAUCACUAUGCUGACCAGAGUCAAUGUGAGCAGAGUUGAGAAUAGCAGUUUUCUGGCAGGAGAGCCACUUCUCAGCAAAAAAUGACACACUCAAAGUAUAAAUCUUUCAUGGAAGGCUCACAUAUUUUCAGCAAAUUAAGCAUAUGCAUGAAUAAAAUUCUUGUGGUGA
rnacentral:lncRNA from 1 species